GACGAACGCUGGCGGCGUGCCUAAUACAUGCAAGUGGGACGCAAGGAAACACACUGUGCUUGCACACCGUGUUUUCUUGAGUCGCGAACGGGUGAGUAACGCGUAGGUAACCUGCCUAUUAGCGGGGGAUAACUAUUGGAAACGAUAGCUAAUACCGCAUAAUAUUAAUUAUUGCAUGAUAAUUGAUUGAAAGAUGCAAGCGCAUCACUAGUAGAUGGACCUGCGUUGUAUUAGCUAGUUGGUAAGGUAAGAGCUUACCAAGGCGACGAUACAUAGCCGACCUGGGAGGGUGAUCGGCCACACUGGGACUGAGACACGGCCCAGACUCCUACGGGAGGCAGCCGUAGGGAAUCUUCGGCAAUGGACGAAAGUCUUACCGAGCAACGCCGCGUGAGUGAAGAAGGUUUUCGGAUCGUAAAGCUCUGUUGUAAGUCAAGAACGUGUGUGAGGGUGGAAAGUUCACGCAGUGACGGUAGCUUACCAGAAAGGGACGGCUAACUACGUG
rnacentral:rRNA from 1 species